rnacentral:rRNA from 1 species
UACGUAGGGGCUAGCGUUAUCCGGAAUUACUGGGCGUAAAGGGUGCGUAGGUGGUUUCUUAAGUCAGAGGUGAAAGGCUACGGCUCAACCGUAGUAAGCUUUUGGAACUGUAAGACUUGAGUGCAGGAGAGGAUAGUGGAAUUCCUAGUGUAGCGGUGAAAUGCGUAGAUAUUAGGAGGAACACCAGUAGCGAAGGCGGCUCUCUGGACAGAUACUGACGCUGAGGCUCUAAAGUUAGGGGAGCAAACAGGAUUAGAUACCCGUGUAGUCCCUGA